AGUGAACGCUGGCGGUAGGCCUAACACAUGCAAGUCGAACGGCAGCACAGUAAGCGCUUGCUCUUACGGGUGGCGAGUGGCGGACGGGUGAGGAAUACAUCGGAAUCUACUUUUUCGUGGGGGAUAACGUAGGGAAACUUACGCUAAUACCGCAUACGACCUACGGGUGAAAGCAGGGGAUCUUCGGACCUUGCGCGAUUGAAUGAGCCGAUGUCGGAUUAGCUAGUUGGCGGGGUAAAGGCCCACCAAGGCGACGAUCCGUAGCUGGUCUGAGAGGAUGAUCAGCCACACUGGAACUGAGACACGGUCCAGACUCCUACGGGAGGCAGCAGUGGGGAAUAUUGGACAAUGGGCGCAAGCCUGAUCCAGCCAUACCGCGUGAGUGAAGAAGGCCUUCGGGUUGUAAAGCCCUUUUGUUGGGAAAGAAAAGCAGCAGGUUAAUACCCCGCUGUUCUGACGGUACCCAAAGAGUAAGCACCGGCUAACUUCGUG
rnacentral:rRNA from 1 species